rnacentral:misc_RNA from 1 species
GCAAACUUGGUCAUUUAGAGGAAGUAAAAGUCGUAACAAGGUUUCCGUAGGUGAACCUGCGGAAGGAUCAUUAACGAGUUUGAAAGGGGUUGUAGCUGGCCUUCACGGGCAUGUGCACACCCCACUCAUCCACUCUACACCUGUGCACUUACUGUGGGUUUCGAGCGGCCGUGCGGGUUCAUUCUCUGCGCGGUCAAUCGGGCCUACGUUUAUCACAAACUCUUCAGUAUCAGAAUGUGUAUCGCGAUGUAACGCAUCUAUAUACAACUUUCAGCAACGGAUCUCUUGGCUCUCGCAUCGAUGAAGAACGCAGC